rnacentral:lncRNA from 1 species
CUUGACUUAUGCAAACAAAAGAUAUGAGAUCAAUCUAGAUAUAACCUAUUUUGAAAGAGCACGACUUGUGCCUUUUGAGCAUAGGCUAGUCAGGGUGGAUCCCCUACUUGGGAAGGAACUCACGUUGGAGAUAGUCUAUCUCUCAAGAGCACAAUCUGUACCCAUAGAUCAUGGCUCAUCCCAAGAAGACAUAGAAUGUUGUAAAUAUGAUUCUUAAUGGAAAUAGAAAAUCAUAACAUAUGAGAGAAUAAUUUCUUUUAUUGCAAUAAGAAC